UCGGUUACCACAUUCACACUCUGUCUCUUUCUCCCUUCUCCCAGCCGUGAACGAUAUAGAACAAAAUCCAAAACCCUAAUCCCAAAUCCAACGAAAUCGACGAAAUCUUUCUUCAAACUCAACGAAAUCGUCCAAAUCAAAAUUAUGGGUUUAUUAAAUUAGCCGAAUAAUUGACGAAAUCGUUCUUUGAAUCCAACGAAAUUGUCCUUCAACAAUACCUUCAAGCUCUCUUCUGUGUUUCAAUAAAUCAUUGGAACAAGGGACAAGUUUGUGAAUUUUUUCUCUUUAUUUUUUUCUACUACUAUGCAUCUUGUGGAACUGGGAAUGUAAUUGUGAUAAUUGUUGUAUAUGACAUUGUUCCAUUAAUAAACACAUCACCAUCUAUUAUAA